UGAACUUGGCGGCGGUGGCUCUGAACUUGGCGGCGGUGGCUCUGAACUUGGGCGGCGGUGGCUGAAUAGAGAGAUGACGGAGGGAGGCGGCGGUGGUGGUGGGGACGAAUCGGGGCUGGAUAACAGAGAGAGCACGGAGGGAGGCGGCGGCGGUCGCGGUCGCCGAGGAAGGAGGCAGCGCCACGUAGGGCGGCGCCAAUGCCUAGAUCUGAGAGAAGUCGGGAUGUAGGGCUAGGGCUCCGGUUGGCGGCAGCAAGGGCGGCGGUCGAGCGUGACUCACGGUGCGAGAAAGAGGGUAGAUGCUUCGCCGGAAAAUUGAAUGGGAGAAGGGACGGCGGUGGGCUCGCCUGCCACUGCUUCGUCGGAAAACUGAAUGGGAAAUUGAACGGGAGAAGGGGCGGCGGUGGGCUCGCCUGCCGCUGC
rnacentral:lncRNA from 1 species